AUGGCGACCGGCGCACGGGUGAGUAACACGUAUCCAACCUGCCGAUGACUCGGGGAUAGCCUUUCGAAAGAAAGAUUAAUACCCGAUGGCAUAGUUCUUCCGCAUGGUAGAACUAUUAAAGAAUUUCGGUCAUCGAUGGGGAUGCGUUCCAUUAGCUUGUUGGCGGGGUAACGGCCCACCAAGGCAUCGAUGGAUAGGGGUUCUGAGGGGAAGGUCCCCCACAUUGGAACUGAGACACGGUCCAAACUCCUACGGAAGGCAGCAG
rnacentral:rRNA from 1 species